rnacentral:rRNA from 1 species
AAGGAAUAUUGGUCAAUGGACGCAAGUCUGAACCAGCCAUGCCGCGUGAAGGAUUAAGGUCCUCUGGAUUGUAAACUUCUUUUAUCUGGGACGAAAAAAGGCGAUUCUUCGUCACUUGACGGUACCAGAUGAAUAAGCACCGGCUAACUCCGUGCCAGCAGCCGCGGUAAUACGGAGGGUGCAAGCGUUAUCCGGAUUCACUGGGUUUAAAGGGUGCGUAGGCGGGCAGGUAAGUCAGUGGUGAAAUCCUGGAGCUUAACUCCAGAACUGCCAUUGAUACUAUCUGUCUUGAAUAUUGUGGAGGUAAGCGGAAUAUGUCAUGUAGCGGUGAAAUGCUUAGAUAUGACAUAGAACACCUAUUGCGAAGGCAGCUUACUACGCAUAUAUUGACGCUGAGGCACGAAAGCGUGGGGAUCAAAC